UAGACAUCAAAAUUUAUGAGUGCUAUCCAUCGAUUAUUCUGAGCAAUAAUUCCCUACUGAUAACAGAAAUUAGUUCACUCGAGCUCUCUUUAGAUUGGUGCAGUAAAAUUAGAAAUUUAAGAUUUGAAAAUAUGUAAGUGUUUAAGGUUUUAAAUUAUGAACAAUUCCUUAAAAUUCAAUGGCU